CUACGGGAUGCACCAGUGGGGAAUAUUGCACAAUGAGCGAAAGCUUGAUGCAGCCAUACCGCGUGUGUGAAGAAGGCCCGAGGGUUGUAAAGCACUUUCAAUUGGGAGGAAGGUUAAGUAGUUAAUACCUGCUUAAUUUGACGUUACCUUUAGAAGAAGCACCGGCUAACUCUGUGCCAGCAGCCGCGGUAAUACAGAGGGUGCAAGCGUUAUUCGGAAUUACUGGGCGUAAAGCGCGCGUAGGCGGAUUAUUAAGUCAGUUGUGAAAGCCCUGGGCUCAACCUGGGAACUGCAUCUGAUACUGGUAGUCUAGAGUUUAAGAGAGGGAAGUGGAAUUCCAGGUGUAGCAGUGAAAUGCGUAGAUAUCUGGAGGAACAUCAGUGGCGAAGGCGACUUCCUGGCUUAAAACUGACGCUGAGGUGCGAAAGCGUGGGUAGCGAACGGGAUUAGAUACCCGUGUAGUC
rnacentral:rRNA from 1 species